rnacentral:rRNA from 1 species
UACAGAGGUCUCAAGCGUUGUUCGGAUUCAUUGGGCGUAAAGGGCGCGUAGGCGGUCAGGUCAGUCCCGUGUGAAAUCCCUCGGCUCAACUGAGGAACUGCACGGAAAACUGCCUGGCUUGAGUUCGGGAGAGGGAAGCGGAAUUCCGGGUGUAGCGGUGAAAUGCGUAGAUAUCCGGAGGAACACCGGUGGCGAAGGCGGCUUCCUGGACCGACACUGACGCUGAGGCGCGAAAGCUAGGGGAGCAAACGGG